UUUUUAGACCCUUUCAAGCACUUCUAAAGACAACGCCCCAGGAUGGGAACAUAGCAAGGCACCUUUUUUAGUGUUGUGUUUGGGUAUCUGGAAAGGA
rnacentral:SRP_RNA from 1 species